rnacentral:rRNA from 1 species
UACGUAGGGUCCGAGCGUUGUCCGGAAUUAUUGGGCGUAAAGGGCUCGUAGGCGGUUUGUCGCGUCGGGAGUGAAAACACUGGGCUUAACCCCGUGCCUGCUUCCGAUACGGGCAGACUAGAGGUAUGCAGGGGAGAACGGAAUUCCUGGUGUAGCGGUGAAAUGCGUAGAGAUGUGGAGGAACACCGAUGGCGAAGGCAGCCUUCUGGGCCAACACUGACGCUCAUGCACGAAAGCGUGGGGAGCAAACAGG